GUAAAUGAAGUUGAAAUUAGCAAGUCCUUUUCUGAAAUAGACCUGCAGGCGAGAGACCCAUCCUUUUGCAAGAGGGGCGUCUCCCACUCCCUCUCCCUCCCUCUCCCUCUCUCUCUCUCUCUCCAAAAUCUCCCCACUCUAAACCCCUUUCCAUUUCCCCACUUCUCUCCUCCCGCAAAAACCCAACUUUUUUUUUUAUCCUGCCUGUUGCUCAAUCAGCAGGCUGAAAAGAUCAUUUCUGACUCAGGGCAGUAAAUACCUACUCAACUUUCCACCCUUCUCUUUUUGGCUCAUGUCUAUUGAAGACUGCUUUCUAUUGUAAGGAAGAUUAUUAUUUUUUCUGGGACGGGGGGGGGGCGGCGGAAUCUCGCAGGGGAGAAAAGGGUCUUUUUCCUCUCUCAUGCGCAAACACCCCCGUUGUGUUCUCCUUCUCCGCGCAAUGGCUGAGGGAACUGGCCGUAGCUCAGCAGCAGAGCGUGCAAGCGAGCCCCAGGUGGACAUCUUGUGGCGUUGUGACAUCCCGGGAGCCACGUUUACUCGGACGUAAGACCCACUGAGUUCAACGAGACCCCCGCUUCUAGCUCAAGACCACCCCCCAAAACACCAUACAUACAUCACAGAAGGGGCGGACUUCACCUUGCCAACAAAGGUCUGUAUAGUUAAUGCUAUGGUUUCCCCAGUAGUGAUGGAUGGAAGUGAGAGCUGGACCAUAAAGAAGGCUGAUCGCCGAAGAAUUGAUGCUUUUGAAUUAUGGCGCUGGAGGAGACUCUUGAGAGUCCCACGGACUGCAAGAAGAUCAAACCUAUCCAUUCUUAAGGAAAUCAGCCCUGAGUGCUCACUGGAAGGACAGAUCCUGAAGCUGAGGCUCCAAUACUUUGGCCACCUCAUGAGAAGAGAAGACUCCCUGGAAAAGACCCUGAUGUUGGGAAAGAUUGAGGGCACAAGGAGAAGGGGACGACAGAGGACGAGAUGGUUGGACAGUGUUCUCGAAGCUACGAACAUGAGUUUGACCAAACUACGGGAGGCAGUGGAAGACAGGAGUGCCUGGCGUGCUAUGGUCCAUGGGGCCCCAAAGAGUCGGACACAACUAAACGACUAAACAACAACAACAAUGUAACAAAUAUCAUGGACAAUAUGGAUAGAUAUAAAGCACAGAUUAUGAAAUAAUAUGCAGAUGGGGGGGGGGAGUCCCGAGAGUCAGAUAAAUCUCUUUAUAUGGAUAUGUACAUGGUUUUGUUAUAAAUUUAUAUCUGUAAAAUCAAAUAAAAACCAUUUUUUUUGGGGGGGGAACAAUUUCUCUGAUAGAACCACAGUCCGCCGUUUAACUGCAAGCGUCAUUCCAACCCUACUAAUCAUUUUAAUGGUUUGCAAUGGUUUUUUUUAAAGGUAAAUUCUACAUCUUCCCCAUUCCUUAUUGAAAUUUUGGUCUUCCUGAUUUCUAAUUCUUCCGGUCAAGUUUUGCCAUUUCUGCAUAAGUCCCCAUCAGUUUAAUCUGCCAUUCUUUUCUGGUAAGAACUGCGUCUAAUAAUAUUUGGGAAGCCAUGGUCACAUACAUGAGAAGUCUCUUGGAAUUUCAGCACGUACGAUUCCUAAAAGAAAAGCUUCUGGGUUUGCUUUUUUUUUAAAGAAAAGGAUAUUCUAAACAUAUUUUCAAUUAUUAUUAUUGAAUUAUUAUUAUUAUUAUUAUUAUUAUUAUUAUUAUUAUUAUUAUGCCCUUCAUCAAAAGAUCUCAGGGCGGUUCACAGAAGUCCUCACCAGUGACACUACCUCUGAGACCUCCGGAUAUAGGGCGGUAUAUAAAUUCAACAAAUAUAUAAAUUCAGUGCUUUUUUUUUUCUUUAAAAAAUGUUUAGGGGUACUCUCAUUUUGACUCAAAAAACCCACUGUUUUAUAAUUCAAAUCAGGGAAAAUAAAGACAGUAAAUGGACAAAAGGACAAAGAUUUGCAAAAUGUUUAGGGGUAUGCCUCCCGCUGCGUACCCCCCCCCCCAGAAAAAAGAACUGUAUAAAGUCAAUAAAUAAUUUCCCCAUAUACCCCAGAAACGCAGGGCGCAGAUUCCCUAAAUACUCACCCAACACGCCAGUGGAACAUACAAGAAUGUUCAGACACUCUGGAGGGAAAAUACGAUACGACUGCAAAGUGUCUUUGAUCAUGAUUGCGAAGUAGCGGCUCCCUCCUUCCUUGGGAAGCGAAUGAUGGACCCAGGGAUGGAGGCAGUGCGGUGGGGUGGGGGGGGAGAAGCCCUCCCCGACAACAGGGUGGUCAAAAAAGUACGGGAGGCCCGCCUGGACCCCGACCGGUUGGUGUUUUGGCAGGCUGGGCACCCGCUGAGAAUUCAGAGAGGGAUGCCAAGGCGCCCGCUGUUUUCUGCCCUCGUAUCACACGGACCGUUGGCAAGGCAAACAGAUGUUCACCAUUGGGGAACAGGAUCCGAGCCACAUUCCUUGGCCAUGAUGCCAUGCUGUUCCCGGACGGGCCUUUCGCCACCUCGGAAGACGGAUGAGGGCGGCCGAGCUGUCGGCACGGGCCUGGUGAAAAAUGGGGGAGCCGGGUGCGGUGACAUCAUCGCCCGGGGUGUUGGACCGACUGGGCACCCGACACCCGCAUGACAUCACUUUGUACUCACUUUGGGCUUUAGUAAAGCAAACUGUCUAAUUUGUCAGCGCCUGAAUGAUCUCGAGCGUCAGAACGACUUGGCCACAAUAAGGAAAUUUUGCCCAUGGUGUGACUAUUUUCCACCUUCCCCUUUCGAAUCUCUGGCACCCUGUCUGCAUCACCUAGCAAUUCCAAAAUAUAGACGCGCCUUUACCCUCACAAGAUUGAAUGUCUUGCCCUCGGCUGAAGAAGAAGAAGAAGAAGAGUUUGGAUUUGAUAUCCCGCUUUAUCACUACCCGAAGGAGUCUCAAAGCGGCUAACAAUCUCCUUUCCCCUCCUCCCCCACAACAGACACCCUGUGAGGUGGGUGGGGCUGAGAGACUUCAGAGAAGUGUGACUAGCCCAAGGUCACCCAGCAGCUGCAUGUGGAGGAGCGGAGACACGAACCCGGUUCCCCAGAUUACGAGUCUACCGCUCUUAACCACUACACCACACUGGCUGGACUUGAGGGACGAUUCCAACAGAUGUGACACAAAAAACAUCCCUGUGGAGAUGGCAAUCCCGAGUCGGUGCCUUGUGUCACGGUCCGGUUGGCGGGCGUCAGGACCAGAGGCAAGAUGGAGGUGCAGAAGCAGGAACAGGUGCAGGGCUGAGGGUCCAGUAGCAGGCAGUCGCAGGGUCAAGGAGCAAGGCAGAGACCAAGGUCCAAGGAGCAAGAAGCAAGGCGAAAGCUCAAGGGUCGAGGAGCAAGGCGAAGGUCCAAGGGUCGAGGAGCAAGGCGAAGGCAAAGCAAGGGUCCAAGGGUCGAGGAUCCAGGCGUCGGCAAGGCAAGGGUCCAAGGAGCAAGGAUCAAGACGUCAGCAAGGCAAGGGUCCACGGAGCAAGGAUCAAGACGUCAGCAAGGCAAGGGUCCACGGAGCAAGAAUCAAGGCGUCGGCAAGGCAAGGGUCCAAGGAGCAGGAGGCCAGAUGCAACCAGGCAGGGAAAGCGUUGCUGUGGCAAAGAGCUGAAGGGAAAUGCUGAGCUUUUAUCCCUCCCAGCCCCUGCCACCAGGUGCAGUGAGAUCUCAAGAGCCUCACCUGGGUGACUACUCCUUGCCUCUCCAGCACAAGCUGAGGUCUUCACCUGUGUGGCCACGCCUUGCUUCCCCAGCACAAGCUGAGGCAGGCCCCAGUCCUGCAAGGCACUACAGGCCCCAGAGCCUGACUCCUGCCCAUACUCCUGACACCUUGUGCUCUUUAUAAAGACUUGAGGAAUGAGAUUAUCCCCCCUCUUUUAUUGUCCAUUCUGGGUCGCCCAGCCACUGCCCCAGUGUCCUUUCUCUGGGCAGAUCAAGAUGAGCAGGGGACAGCAAAGGUGGCAAGGUUUUUAGCUGGGGCAAUCAGACUGAGGUCCACUAUUUGACUACUGAUUCAAACCCCUAAAAUGUAUUGUAUAUAAUUGACUUUUUAUGUCUAUUCUUUGUAUAUCGUAGUGUCGUUUUAUUGCUAUGGCUGAUGGCUGAUGCAAAUAUUCAUUCAUUCAUUCACUUAGAGCAGGCACGUCCAACAGGUAGAUCGUGAUCUACCGGUAGAUCACUGGACGUCUGUGAUAGAUCACUGGCUCCCCCCAAAGAAGCUCAACAACUUUGGCUCCCCUAAAUAAAGCUCAACAUUUUUGCCCUGCACCCGAAAGAAACAGGGCUAAUAAUAAUAAUAAUAAUAAUAAUAAUAAUAAAUUUAUUUAUACCCUGCCCAUCUGGCUGGGUUUCCCCAGCCACUCUGGACAGCUCCCAACAGUACAGUAUAUUAAAAGCACAACAGAACAUCAAACAUUAAAAACUUCCCUAAACAGGGCUGCCUUCAGAUGUCUUCCAAAAGUCAAAUAGUUGUUUAUCUCCUUGACAUCUGACGGGAGGGUGUUCCACAGGCUAGGCACCACCACCGAGAAGGCCCUCUGCCUGGUUCCCUGUAACCUCACUUCUCGCAAGGAGGGAACCGCCUGAAGACCCUUGGAGCUGGACCUCCGUGUCCAGGCUGAAUGAUGGGGGUGGAGACGCUCCUUCAGGGAUACUGGGCCUUUGAGGCCGUUGAGGGCUUUCAAGGUCAGCACCAAGACUUUGAAUUGUCCUCAGAAACGUACUGGUAGCCAAUGUAGGUCUUUCAGUCCCCAGUCUAGCUGCCGUAUUCUGGAUUAGUUGUAGUUUCCAAGUCACCUUCAACGGCAGCCCCACAUAGAGCGCAUGGCAGGAGUCCAAGCGGGAGAUAACCAGAGCAUGCACCACUCUGACAAAACAGUCUGCGGGCAGGGAGGGUAUCAGAUGGAGCUGAUAAACAGCUGCCCUGGACACAGCGGUGAGUCCAAAAUGACCCCCUGGCUGCGCACCUGGUCCUUCGGGGGGCAUGGUGACCCCAUUCAGGACCAGGGAGUCCUCCACACCCGCCUGACCCCUGUGCCCCCAACACAGUCCUUCUGUCUUGUCAGGAUUCAGCCUCAAUCUGUUAUCCGCCACCCAUCCUCCACCCGCCUCCUGACACUCACAGACAGGUAGGAGAACAACAGCUGGAGAGGGCUGAGCUGGAAGACAACGAGACCUGCUUGCUGUGCGCUGGAUCCCAAAGCGGCAACAGAUGGAGAAAAGAUGUUGGGGUGUUGAUGCUUCGAGCCCCUCCACCUUAUGCUCGGGUUGUAUAUGUGUGCGUGUGAAUCAAACGCAUCCGAAAGACACCCUAUUCUCCGCAGACCUUCAUCACAAGAAAAUUGAACUCAGCGUAAGCACAAUAACCCCUGGGGGUCUCUCACACAUCAGAAACUGGGGUGGCAAAUGCUUCAGAAGCUGUUUUAGUUGCUCCUUCUACCUUCCCUGUCAGUUCUGACAUUUUUCCCCUCCAGGAAGUUCUGUUUCGAGAUCCUUUUUAACUCAGAAAGGAGCUCUUGGUACCUGUCGGGUAUUUUUUAUAUAAAUAGUUGCGAUGAUUCCUGCAUUGUGGGGGGGGGGUUGGACUAGAUGACCCUAGAGGCCCUUCGCAACUCUACAAUUCUUUGAUUCUGUGAUUCUACCAGAUUCGGUAUCCUUGCCACCCUUUCUGAAUUGAUUAAGGCGAUUCAACCAAUUGCAAACGCCUCAACGGGCUGAGAUCAGGGAGCAGAUUUUAACACGUUUCCUCUUUUUAAUAAAGCACAUUUCUUUUUUUAAAAGAAAAUAAAUGCAAGAGACAAAGAAUGCCAGGUUUGCAGAGGUAUUCUCCCUCUUGUGCGGGGCAGAGAGACGGGGGGGGGGGGGGGUCCCAUCCUUUUAAAAAGACUUUUAAACUGAUGCGUGCUGUUAACGCAUGCAUGCAGAAUCUAAAAGCUUAAAAAUAACUUUUCUCUCUCGGUGCAACAAAAUCCUCCGCCAUGCAUCCCCAAUAUGCAAAGGAUUGAUUUAGAUGGACGUGUUGCGAUGCCCUGAGGCAUGCUUGGCACCUUUCUUUCCAUCCCCAUCUUGCGUUGGCCAUAAAACAUCAGGGGUGGCGUCUAAUGAAUCGUUAAAAUCCACAUGGAUUCCUCUACUAAACUCGAGAACAAAGAAAGCCCCUUCGGCCUGCGAGGCAGAGGCUCCACCUCCAAGCCAACGGGUUUGCGUUCUCGUUUAUUUCCAAACAGCUCCAUUGGUUAGAGCUUGGUGCUGAUCGUGCCAAGGUUGCCGGUUCGAUCCCCAUACGGCGCAGCCGCCUAUUCCUGCAUUGCAGGAGGUUGGGCUAGAUUGCGGGAUGUGAAACACAAAUGGCAGUCGAGUACAACAUUCCUCGUUUUCCUAGAGUGGACAUGCAAGGGGAAGUUUGGACCAGCCAGUCGAAAACUUCCUGUUUCCUCCUGGGCUGGGACACACUUCCUCUUGCAUGCGACAAGAGGUGGGUGUGGCCUUACCUGUGCAGGUAACAAAUGCACAAGGCCCACAGCCCUCCUCCCUUCUUCUCCAUCUUCCUUUGGUUGUGUGAACUGCAGUGGCUGCCAGUCUACAGUCACUGGGAUUACCCCCCCCCCAAUAUGGGGUAGAUCCACAUGUAUAUACUUUGUAACUAAGUCUGCCUUCAGGGAUCCAACUGUGAACUGAUGAUGUGAGUAAACUACUUAUAUAUACAGUCAUACCUCGUGUUACAUCCGCUGCGAGUUACGUCUUUUCAGGAUAUGGACACGCUGAACCCGGAAAACCCGGAAAGGGUUAUUUCUGGGUUCGGUGCGUGCGCAUGUGCAGAAGCGCCGAAUUGCGUCACUCGCGUGCGCAGACACACCACUUCAGAAUGCGGCCUUUUCAUGUUCCGAACGGGCCUCCGGAACGGAUCCCAUUCACAACCAGAGGUACCACUGUAUCUUAAAUAAGAUUGUGGCGUGUUUAUUCUUUUAAGAAGGAAAUAAGGGACCUUACCAGGAAUCUAUAUUCUAUAAACAAGCUUGCAACCAGCUACCCGCUGUGCGUUUAAAAGGGGAAUGUUAAAACUCUGCUAAGUUAUAGAACUUGCUAGCGCAAAUUAGGAAGGAUAUUAAUAAACAAUAUAUCCUCUCCUGCCUCCCUGAACAUUCCCACAUAGAUGACUGCUUUGCGUCCCUUGCAACUCUCUACAAUUCAAUGAAACAUUUCUCUAGCCCAGCACUUCCCAAUUGGUGGUCUGCGGAGCCCAGGGGGUCCACAUAAUCCAGCCAGGGGGGCCGUAGCACAUUUCCACUAACUGUCUCAGACAUCCUGUUUUGGGGAGCUAUGGCCCAGACGAUGUGCAGCCUGGUUUGGCGCUGGGACAUAUUGAAGAGUCUUUCUUCCUUCGUUUUUGGGCAAUCGCUCAUAGCCAAGUAAGUUUGUGUUACAUGAAUAUGGUCUUAGGUAAAGCUAAGGAAUGCCUGGAUGGUUAAGUCCAGUCAAAGGCGACUAUGGGGUUGUAGCGCUCAUCUUACUUUCAGGCUAAGGGAGCUGGCGUUUGUCCACAGACAGCUUUCCAGGUCAUAUGACCAGCAGGACUAAACCGCUUCUGGCGCAUGACGGAAACCAGAGGGCAUGGAAACGCUGUUUACUUUCCCGCCGUAGCAGUACCUAUUUAUCUACUUGCACUGGCAUGCUUUCGAACUGCUAGGUUGGCAGGAGCUGGGAUGGAGCAAGGGGAACUUGCCCCAUCACGGGGAUUCGAACCGCCGACCUUCUGACCGGCAAGCCCAAGAGGCUCCAUGGUUUUGAGCACAGCUCAACCCCCUUCCCAUUAUGGUCUUAACGAUGUGUCCGUAAGUGACUGUUGAGGCCAAUUCUGGAUCCACACGUCCUUCCACGGUGGGGACAUAGGUUUCCUGGCGGGAGUUGAUCCCGGUGAGCAUUUGCCAAACAUGCCUUCCUCUCAGUUCGCUUCUCCCUUAUGUCCUGAGUUUGUGCUUCUUCAAAGCCCAUGAUGCCUUUGGUAAAAGCUGUUCUCCAAUUGGAGCACUCGAAGGUCAGCGUUUCCCAAUUUCCCCUGCUUAUACUGCAUUUUUUUAAAGCUUUGCUUUGAGGGCAUCUUUAAAUCUCUUUUGUUGUCCUCCAGUACAGUGGCACCUUGGUUCUUGAAUUCAAUCCAUUCUGGGAGUCCGUCCGAUUCCCGAAACCGUUCAGAAACCAAGGCACAGCUUCUGACUGGCUCUGCUCAGUCAGAAGCCAUGUCAGACGUUCGGCUUCCGAAAAAAACGUUUGCAAAUCGGAACACUCACUUCCAGGUUUGCGGCGUGCGGGAGCUGAGACAACUAAGCCGUUCGGGAACCAAGGUA